GCUUACUGCGGGGCGGCGGGCGCGGUAAGAGGGGGGGGGCAAGGGUUUUUGGGAAUUACUGGGCGUAAAGGGGUCGGAGGCGGCCAACUAAGUCAGACGUGAAAUCCCUCGGCUGAACCGGGGAACUGCGUCUGAUACUGGAUGGCUUGAGUGUGGGAGAGGGAUGCGGAAUUCCAGGUGUAGCGGUGAAAUGCGUAGAUAUCUGGAGGAACACCGGUGGCGAAGGCGGCAUCCUGGACCACGACUGACGCUGAGGAGCGAAAGCCAGGGGAGCAAACGGGAUUAGAUAGCCCUGUAGUC
rnacentral:rRNA from 1 species